GACGAACGCUGGCGGCGUGCUUAACACAUGCAAGUCGAGCGGUAAGGCCCUUUCGGGGGUACACGAGCGGCGAACGGGUGAGUAACACGUGGGUGACCUGCCCUUAGCUCUGGGAUAAGCCUGGGAAACUGGGUCUAAUACCGGAUAUGACUCCAUGACGCAUGUUGUGGGGUGGAAAGCCUUGUGCGGCUAGGGAUGGGCCCGCGGCCUAUCAGCUUGUUGGUGGGGUGAUGGCCUACCAAGGCGACGACGGGUAGCCGGCCUGAGAGGGCGACCGGCCACACUGGGACUGAGACACGGCCCAGACUCCUACGGGAGGCAGCAGUGGGGAAUCUUGCGCAAUGGGCGAAAGCCUGACGCAGCGACGCCGCGUGUGGGAUGACGGCC
rnacentral:rRNA from 1 species